ensembl:lncRNA
CUUGGGCCUCGUCGGCCGCCGUCCGCCCAUCUCUCAGGUGAACGCGUAUCCCUCCGCCGCGGCCGCCCCUCAGCCGGGCUCGCACCCGGCAGUCCCCGGAUGGAAACUGUGAUGGCGGCCGGCAGCGCCUCGCCGGACGGUGGCGGUACCCGAGAACUUUUUCUAGUAUUUCUCCUAACUGUGGCCUUGUCUGAGUCUUGCAAUCUUACCUCUUCUGUGUGUGUGGAAAAUACCCAGCUGUUGGAGAAUUGAAGUCAAGUAUUUUCUUAACACGAGAAUGAAAUGGGGAAGUUGUAGAGCUUUGAGAGUAACUUGGCGCAGUUGUCUCAUUUGCUGCCGGAAAUAAGACUAAAUCUCAAGAAUUCAUGUAAA